rnacentral:rRNA from 1 species
GCUCAGGAUGAACGCUAGCUACAGGCUUAACACAUGCAAGUCGAGGGGUAGCAGGGUAGCAAUACCGCUGACGACCGGCGCACGGGUGAGUAACACGUAUCCAACCUUCCCAUAACUCGGGGAUAGCCUUUCGAAAGAAAGAUUAAUACCCGAUAGUACUUUUUCAAGGCAUCUUGAGAAAGUUAAAGAUUUAUUGGUUAUGGAUGGGGAUGCGUUCCAUUAGAUAGUUGGUGAGGUAACGGCUCACCAAGUCUUCGAUGGAUAGGGGUUCUGAGAGGAAGGUCCCCCACAUUGGUACUGAGACACGGACCAAACUCCUACGGGAGGCAGCAGUGAGGAAUAUUGGUCAAUGGGCGAGAGCCUGAACCAGCC